rnacentral:rRNA from 1 species
AGAGUUUGAUCCUGGCUCAGAUUGAACGCUGGCGGCAGGCUUAACACAUGCAAGUCGAGCGGUAACAGGGGGUGCUUGCACCCCGCUGACGAGCGGCGGACGGGUGAGUAAUGCAUAGGAAACUGCCCAGUAGUGGGGGAUAGCCCGGGGAAACCCGGAUUAAUACCGCGUACGCCCUUCGGGGGAAAGCAGGGGAUCUUCGGACCUUGCGCUAUUGGAUGUGCCUAUGUCGGAUUAGCUAGUUGGUGGGGUAAAGGCCUACCAAGGCGACGAUCCGUAGCUGGUCUGAGAGGAUGAUCAGCCACAUCGGGACUGAGACACGGCCCGAACUCCUACGGGAGGCAGCAGUGGGGAAUAUUGGACAAUGGGGGCAACCCUGAUCCAGCCAUGCCGCGUGUGUGAAGAAGGCUUUCGGGUUGUAAAGCACUUUCAGUGAGGAGGAAAACUCUGCGACUAAUACUCGUAGGGCUUGACGUUACUCACAGAAGAG